UAAAAGGCAAGCCCUGGGUUUCCGUGUCCAACUUUGACUGUCCGUCUUAUAUGAAAUUUUUUUAUAAUUCGUAUUUUCAUUGUGGUUAGAUGAUAAAACAUGGUUAAUAUUUUACGCGUGACUUGUCUUUUUAAUUUUUUUAUAAUUUUUUCAAAUAAGACGGACGGUCAAACGUUGGACACGGAAACCAGGGUUUGUCUUUUU
rfam:Oryza sativa Japonica Group DNA, chromosome 4, cultivar: Nipponbare, complete sequence.